rnacentral:rRNA from 1 species
AUUGAACGCUAGCGGGAUGCUUUACACAUGCAAGUCGAACGGAGUGGCGGAAGGGUGAGUAAUAUAUAGGAACGUGCCCAGUAGCGGGGGAUAACUACUCGAAAGAGUGGCUAAUACCGCAUACUAUUGGAGCGGCCGAUAUCGGAUUAGCUAGUUGGUGGGGUAAAGGCUCACCAAGGCAACGAUCCGUAGCUGGUUUGAGAGGAUGACCAGCCAAACUGGGGCCUAAACACGGCCCAGACUCCUACGGGAGGCAGCAGUAGGGAAUUUUGUACAAUGGGGGAAACCCUGAUCCAGCCAUCCCGCGUGUAUGAUGAAGGCCUGCGGGUUGUAAAGUACUUUUUGCAGGUAAGCGGGAUCUGCAGAAUAAGCACCGGCUAACUACGUGCCAGCAGCCGCGGUAAUAC